UUAUUGGAGAGUUUGAUCCUGGCUCAGGACGAACGCUGGCGGCGUGCCUAAUACAUGCAAGUCGAGCGGACUUUAAAAGCUUGCUUUUAAAGUUAGCGGCGGACGGGUGAGUAACACGUGGGCAACCUGCCUGUAAGACUGGGAUAACUUCGGGAAACCGGAGCUAAUACCGGAUAAUUCUUUCCACCACAUGGUGGAAAGCUGAAAGACGGUUUCGCUGUCACUUACAGAUGGGCCCGCGGCGCAUUAGCUAGUUGGUGAGGUAACGGCUC
rnacentral:rRNA from 1 species